rnacentral:rRNA from 1 species
GACGAACGCUGGCGGCGUGCCUAAUACAUGCAAGUCGAACGAACUCUGGUAUUGAUUGGUGCUUGCAUCAUGAUUUACAUUUGAGUGAGUGGCGAACUGGUGAGUAACACGUGGGAAACCUGCCCAGAAGCGGGGGAUAACACCUGGAAACAGAUGCUAAUACCGCAUAACAACUUGGACCGCAUGGUCCGAGUUUGAAAGAUGGCUUCGGCUAUCACUUUUGGAUGGUCCCGCGGCGUAUUAGCUAGAUGGUGGGGUAACGGCUCACCAUGGCAAUGAUACGUAGCCGACCUGAGAGGGUAAUCGGCCACAUUGGGACUGAGACACGGCCCAAACUCCUACGGGAGGCAGCAGUAGGGAAUCUUCCACAAUGGACGAAAGUCUGAUGGAGCAACGCCGCGUGAGUGAAGAAGGGUUUCGGCUCGUAAAACUCUGUUGUUGAAGAAGAACAUAUCUGAGAGUAACUGUUCAGGUAUUGACGGUAUUUAACCAGAAAGCCACGGCUAACUACGUGCCAGCAGCCGCGGUAAUACGUAGGUGGCAAGCGUUGUCCGGAUUUAUUGGGCGUAAAGCGAGCGCAGGCGGUUUUUUAAGUCUGAUGUGAAAGCCUUCGGCUCAACCGAAGAAGUGCAUCGGAAACUGGGAAACUUGAGUGCAGAAGAGGACAGUGGAACUCCAUGUGUAGCGGUGAAAUGCGUAGAUAUAUGGAAGAACACCAGUGGCGAAGGCGGCUGUCUGGUCUGUAACUGACGCUGAGGCUCGAAAGUAUGGGUAGCAAACAGGAUUAGAUACCCUGGUAGUCCAUACCGUAAACGAUGAAUGCUAAGUGUUGGAGGGUUUCCGCCCUUCAGUGCUGCAGCUAACGCAUUAAGCAUUCCGCCUGGGGAGUACGGCCGCAAGGCUGAAACUCAAAGGAAUUGACGGGGGCCCGCACAAGCGGUGGAGCAUGUGGUUUAAUUCGAAGCUACGCGAAGAACCUUACCAGGUCUUGACAUACUAUGCAAAUCUAAGAGAUUAGACGUUCCCUUCGGGGACAUGGAUACAGGUGGUGCAUGGUUGUCGUCAGCUCGUGUCGUGAGAUGUUGGGUUAAGUCCCGCAACGAGCGCAACCCUUAUUAUCAGUUGCCAGCAUUAAGUUGGGCACUCUGGUGAGACUGCCGGUGACAAACCGGAGGAAGGUGGGGAUGACGUCAAAUCAUCAUGCCCCUUAUGACCUGGGCUACACACGUGCUACAAUGGAUGGUACAACGAGUUGCGAACUCGCGAGAGUAAGCUAAUCUCUUAAAGCCAUUCUCAGUUCGGAUUGUAGGCUGCAACUCGCCUACAUGAAGUCGGAAUCGCUAGUAAUCGCGGAUCAGCAUGCCGCGGUGAAUACGUUCCCGGGCCUUGUACACACCGCCCGUCACACCAUGAGAGUUUGUAACACCCAAAGUCGGUGGGGUAACCUUUUAGGAACCAGCCGCCUAAGGUGGGACAGAUGAUUAGGGUG